rnacentral:rRNA from 1 species
AAUCAACGCUGGCGGCGUGCCUCAGACAUGCAAGUCGAACGAUUAAAGCUCUCUUCGGAGAGUGUAUAGAGUGGCGCACGGGUGAGUAACACGUAAGUAAUCUACCCUCGAGUGGGGAAUAACAACCGGAAACGGUUGCUAAUACCGCAUAAUGCAGCGGCACCGCAAGGUGACAGUUGUUAAAGAUUUAUCGCUUGAGGAGGAGCUUGCGGCAGAUUAGCUAGUUGGUAGGGUAACGGCUUACCAAGGCUACGAUCUGUAACCGGUCUAAGAGGACGGUCGGUCACACUGACACUGAAUAACGGGUCAGACUCCUACGGGAGGCAGCAGUCGGGAAUUUUGGGCAAUGGGCGAAAGCCUGACCCAGCAACGCCGCGUGAAGGAUGAAGUAUUUCGGUAUGUAAACUUCGAAAGAAUAGGAAGAAUUAAUGACGGUACUAUUUAUAAGGUCCGGCUAACUACGUGCCAGCAGCCGCGGU